rnacentral:lncRNA from 1 species
CGGAGGAGCUCGCAGCGGCGACGAAGCCUCCCUUUCGACCCGAAACGUCGGCGCCCGGGGCGGCGCCCGCUCGGCUCGUCCCGGCCCCGGCCGCGGCCGCUGCUGCCGCCACGUCGUCGUCAUCCGGUUCGAGCUUGGACCGGGUGCACCCCAUGGAAAGCUUGGCCCGAGCUUCGACGGAGAGAAUGGGGGAACAGAGUGGGGUUGGAGGAGGAGGAGGAGGAGGAGGAGGAGGAGGAGGAGCAGGUUAGAGUUGGGAAUGGAAAGGGAGAGGUUAGGGUUAGGGUUAGGGUUAGGGUUAGGAUGAGGGGGAGGAGGAGAGGAGAUUGCGGGGUACAUCGAGGUGUCGGAGGAGACGAGGGGUUGGGGGGAAACGAAUGUUGGAGUUGGAGUUGGAGUUGUUAGAAUUUGAAGAG